GGUGGACGGGGCUCCCCGAACCUGCCUCCGAGCGGGGCAGCUCUCUGAGGUCAGCCUUGGACGCCUUUGACCCGUGUCACUGCGGAGGGGACAGCCGCCACCGCGGCUCAGCCCGGGAACCCUGCGGGCCAGGCUACGUGGAGCCAGUGCAGGAUCUUCAAGCAUCAAUUACUCGGACUCCAAAGCACGUGAACCGCAGGUUUCCGGGAUGGUGUGUCUGCAGAGCUGUGUUCAGAGAAGCUGGUGAUGGAUGGGUCCAUUUGGACUCCCGGAAAGGGCCAGACGUUGUGGGUGAGAGAUGAGGACAGAAUGUUGUGUUUCCAUGAGAGCUAUCCCUGAG
rnacentral:lncRNA from 1 species